UACGGAGGGUGCGAGCGUUGUCCGGAAUCAUUGGGCGUAAAGGGCUCGUAGGCGGCCAACUAAGUCAGACGUGAAAUCCCUCGGCUUAACCGGGGAACUGCAUCUGAUACUGGAUGGCUUGAGUUCGGGAGAGGGAUGCGGAAUUCCAGGUGUAGCGGUGAAAUGCGUAGAUAUCGGAGGAACACCGGUGGCGAAGGCGGCAUCCUGGACCGACACUGACGCUGAGGAGCGAAAGCCAGGGGAGCAAGGCGGGAU
rnacentral:rRNA from 1 species